UACGUAGGGUGCGAGCGUUGUCCGGAAUUAUUGGGCGUAAAGGGCUCGUAGGCGGUUUGUCGCGUCGGGAGUGAAAACCCAGGGCUUAACUCUGGGCUGGCUUUCGAUACGGGCAGACUAGAGGUAUGCAGGGGAGAACGGAAUUCCGUGGUGUAGCGGUGAAAUGCGCAGAAUAUCAGGAGGAACACCGAUGGCGAAGGCAGCUCGCUGGGACGGUACUGACGCUGAGGCGCGAAAGCGUGGGAGCAA
rnacentral:rRNA from 1 species